rnacentral:lncRNA from 10 species
UUGUUUUUUAUAUAAGCCAUCUGUCAUUUUUACCUUUUACUAAUUUGGUUUAUACAACUGAUCUUUUAUUAGUUUUAUUGAGUUUUAAAAUAUACUAGAAAAAAUUGAUACUUUGUUAGUGUACCAUUUAAUGAGUUUUAGCAAACUCAUACAACCAUGUAACCAUCACCGUAAUACAGAUGUAUGUGUUUUAUUGCUCAAAUGCUCAUUUGUAGACAAUACCCUUCUCAACUCACAUCUCAUGUUAAUAAAUGAUCUGCAUUCUCUCCAUGUAGUUAAUUAUCUUAAGAAGUAAUAUAAAAGGAAAACUAUAAAAUAUAAUUGCUUGCAUUUGACAUUUUUUACUCAGGAUAAUGCAUGUAAGAAUUAUUCAUAGAGUUGUAUGUAUUAUUAAUUCUUUUUCUUUUACUAUAGAACAUUUAUUUAUUGGCCAGGCGCCGUGGCUCACGCCUGUAAUCCCAGCACUUUGGGAGGCCAAGGCGGGCGGAUCACGAGGUCAGGAGAUAGAGACCAUCCUGGCUAACACGGUGAAACCCCGUCUGUACUAAAAAUACAAAAAAUUAGCCUGGCGUGGUGGCAGGCGCCUGUGGUCCCAGCUACUCCGGAGGCUGAGGCAGGAGAAUGGCGGGAACCCGGAAAGCGGAGCUGGCAGUGAGCCAAGAUUGCGCCACUGCACUCCAGCCUGGGAAACAGGGCGAGACUCCGUCUCAAAAAAAAAAAAAAAAAAAAAAAA